UGGGGUAUAGCCAAGUUGGUAAGGCAGCGGGUUUUGAUCCCGCGAUCGUAGGUUCAAGUCCUGCUACCCCAGCCA
rnacentral:tRNA from 2 species